rnacentral:tRNA from 1 species
GACUAGAUAGCUCAGGGGUAGAGCGACGAAACCAAGUUUUGUGUGCGUAGGUUCGAUUCCUACUCUAGUACCCA